CCUACGUGUGGCAGCAGUGAGGAAUAUUGGUCAAUGGUCGGAAGACUGAACCAGCCAAGCCGCGUGAGGGAGGAAGGUACAGAGUAUCGUAAACCUCUUUUGUCAGGGAACAAAGGCGGGGACGUGUCCCCGGCUGAGUGUACCUGAAGAAAAAGCAUCGGCUAACUCCGUGCCAGCAGCCGCGGUAAUACGGAGGAUGCGUGCGUUAUCCGGGUUUAUUGGGUUUAAAGGGUGCGCAGGCGGUCUGUUAAGUCAGCGGUCAAAGCCCGGGGCUCAACCCCGGCCCGCCGUUGAAACUGGCAGUCUCGAGUUGGAGAGAAGUAGGCGGAAUGCGCGGUGUAGCGGUGAAAUGCAUAGAUAUCGCGCAGAACUCCGAUUGCGAAGGCAGCAUGCCGGCUCCACACUGACGCUGAGGCACGAAAGCGUGGGUAUCGAACAGGAUUAGAUACCCCUGUAGUC
rnacentral:rRNA from 1 species